GAGCUUGCAUUGGCAGCACAUACGCUAAAAUGGGAAUGAUACAGAGCAGGCUAGCAUGGUCCUUGCCCAAGGAUUACAUGCAAAUUCAUGAAGCAUUCCAUAUUUUU
ensembl:snRNA U6 U6 spliceosomal RNA